rnacentral:rRNA from 1 species
AGUGGCGGACGGGUGAGUAACGCGUGAGAAUCUGCCUUGGGGUCGGGGACAACCACUGGAAACGGUGGCUAAUACCGGAUACGCCUUUUGGUAAAAGAUUUAUUGCCCUAAGAGGAGCUCGCGUCUGAUUAGCUAGUUGGUGAGGUAAGAGCUCACCAAGGCAGCGAUCAGUAGCUGGUCUGAGAGGACGAUCAGCCACACUGGGACUGAGACACGGCCCAGACUCCUACGGGAGGCAGCAGUGGGGAAUUUUCCGCAAUGGGCGAAAGCCUGACGGAGCAAGACCGCGUGAGGGAGGAAGGCUCUUGGGUUGUAAACCUCUUUUCUCAGGGAAGAAGCUCUGACGGUACCUGAGGAAUCAGCCUCGGCUAACUCCGUGCCAGCAGCCGCGGUAAUACGGAGGAGGCAAGCGUUAUCCGGAAUUAUUGGGCGUAAAGCGUCCGCAGGUGGCGAUUCAAGUCUGCUGUCAAAGCACGGGGCUUAACUCCGUAAAGGCAGUGGAAACUGAAUAGCUAGAGUGCCGUAGGGGUAGAGGGAAUUCCCGGUGUAGCGGUGAAAUGCGUAGAGAUCGGGAAGAACAUCGGUGGCGAAAGCGCUCUACUGGACGGCAACUGACACUCAGGGACGAAAGCUAGGGGAGCGAAUGGGAUUAGAUACCCC